UACAAAUGCACUUGGUCAGUCUGCACAUAACACAAGUUCUGCAUAUUUUCUGCAAUGUUUGCAACCUUCAUAAUCCAUUACAAACCAAAGAAAAGCAUUUUAUUAUUUAGAUAAUAUUAAAUCACCUCAUAUGAUUUAAUUUUGAGUAAUCUCAAAACUGUCAUCAUUGUCAGAGUUACCUCUGUCAUUGUGUUUGGGAUGUGCAUCUCUCAAUUACGCCUGGUAAGAGAGUUUUGUCAGAGAAGGUAUGGAAUAUGAUCAAAUAAACAAUCAAAUGUCUUUCUUUGUUGUUUUAUUGUGUGAUGAAGGUGGCUAGCAUUGAAAAAAAAUUAAUAGCCCACGUAAGCUUUGCUGGUAACUUAAGGGAGUAAUAAGUUAUAGUUAUAAUUUCACAUAUGAAAUCAUCACUACUGGCCAAUAUCUUAUAUAUAAAGGGGAAAAAAAACAACCUUAAAUUCUCUGACUUUGAGUUCUUGAUAUAAAUAAUGCUUAUUCAUUACAUUUUCAAAAAAAUUCAAAUAAAGAAAUACUAAAUUUACUUAACUUAUUUUUUUUUUUGACUUGAGAUUUUUUCAUUACAAGUACUUUUUUUCAUUGAAUUUUCACCUAAAAUAUCAGACUGAGUGUACAGUUGUUGUUUUUACAUCUUCAAUUUUCAGAAUUCCUCAUACUAUUAUUCAUAUUACUGUGGGUGUGAUUUCACCAACAUUAGGGCACAGAUAGAAUUCGUAAUGCUCCAGUAUAGAGACAUGGGUAAUGGACAUCAUAUUGUUACAACGUAAUUGUCAAAGAUUUCUGACCAUGCCCGGAUAUCUAAAAAAAAAAAAAAACAACCCUGGAAUUUUACUAAAAUUUUGACUGCUUGAAAAAAACAAAACCCAAGCUAAAGUUCAAUAUUUUUUCAAGAAAGCUUGCUCAUAAGUAUGCAUGACAUUAAGUUCACUUAUUCAUUAUUUUUGUAUAUGAGACUGCAUGGUUUAGAUUGAAGUGAAAAUGUUACAGAGUUUUUAAAGAAAGAAGAAAAUAGAGUCCAUUAACAUUUAGAGAUAUUCAAUUGUUGGACUGAGGAAUAUUCUUGCUAUCAACAUGGUAUAUCAGUGACAAGUAUUAAUGAUUAAUACGUCUCAAUAAAAACCUGUGUCAGACAUCAGUUUAACUAGAACUGUAUUGAAGGUAAACAAUAUGGCUAUACUGCUACUCUCAUUAAAAAUCAUAGAACCUUGUAAUCAUUCCAGUUUGAGCACUGUGCAGCACUAGGUACUGUAAUUUUCAUAUUUGUUACACAGCUUUCUCACUCUGACAACUGCCUGAAAAGCUCCACAGAUUGGCUGAAUUAGCUAAAUAUGAUAAAUAUAUAUUUUUUGACAAUCCCUGUGAUCUCUAGGUAACCAACAAAAAUAAACAUAAUAAUUCAAUCUUCCUGAGAAAUUCUCAUUACUCUGUACAUGUCUCUAUAUUCCAGCUCAUGUGCUCUCCCUCCUUAAUUCAACAAUGUAACUUUUCUAGUAUCAAAUAAAAACAGACCAUCCCUUACACAACCAUUAUCAACCAGGAAGUGUGGACAAUGGCAUAUCUAUAAAGCUUUACAGUCUCUUGCAAAAACUGUGUUACAUAAAUUCCUAUGACCUUGUACCUAGCUAUAUCUAAGUCUUGUGAUUAUCAUUACACGUACAUGUAUAUAGAAAAGAUAUGCGUGAGUGACCUUUAGUGUUCCUAUCAGUCUCAAGGAAUCAGGUCAGACAGGAGUAUACCUGUAUCAAGGUGUAAAAGUUAGAAACAGGUGUUAAUGACCAUGUCUGUCAGUAACGGAUGAACAGAGCUGGCCUGUUCUGCUCAAACUGGAUAUAAAACUCAGGGUCAGACGGCUCUAAGGCUGAAGGAUGUUUCUGUGUGAACUGAGGAAUACAUUGGACUUAUAUAUUGAGAAGAUAGAGUUUCGACUGCAUGAGGACUAUGUAUUGAGGAGACAGAGUACUAUAAGUUGAGGUGAUAUAUAGUGUUUUGAGCAAGGACUAUAAGUUCAGAAGAUUUGAGUUUUGACUGCAGACUAUAUGUUGGGGAGAUAUAUAGAGUUUUGACCGAGAAUAUUAUGUAGAGGAGAUAUAUAUAGAGUUUUGACCAAGGACAACAUGUUGAGGAGAUUGAGUUUUGACUGUGGACUAUAUGUUGAGGAGAUUGCCCAAUAUAUCGUGCUGCUCUCUCUACUGAAAUAGACUGCACCUUCUUUUCACCAGGGCAACGUGGCUAAUGCUGCAAGAGCUCCAGAGAAAAUCCUACGAAGACAGCAGCUAAGAUGCACAACUCAGGUUCAUUGUUAAUGUGUCUUAUUGGUAAACAUUUCUGCCACCUAGAAUAUUGUAAAAGUCAGUGAUCCAUGCCAUAUAUUUCCUGGUGCACAGUUUGAAAUGCCAGGUGCUUUUACAAUCUUCACACUCUCAUUUUAUGCAGUUACCAUAUUCAUCCUAUUGAGCACCCCAGGCUCUUAGAAAAUUGGAAAAGAAGGGUGGUUGAAAUAAUGCUGUGUGUUCCAGUGAAAUUUAGACUUUUGAGAAAUGUUUCAAUAAACAUCAAAUUCUAAAUGAGUUAUGUUGUACUUUCUUUUACGAUAACAUAACUCAGGUCUUGAAUAUAUUUAUUUAAAUUUCAAAUCAAUAAAACUACAAAAAAGAUAAAGGAGAUGAAAAUAAUAAGUUUAGAAAAAAUGUCAGAAACGUUGCAAAUGACCUUAAAAUAAAUCGCUGUGUAAACAGUAGUAAAGAUAAACACUGUACAUGGGUGUCAACCUUGACAGCUCAGUGGUUAGAGCACAGUGAAUAGUAAUACAGGGAUCCCAGGUUCAAAUCCCAGUCCAGCCAUAAAUCUUCUUCUUUCCUACUACAGAUAUAAGAGCCUUGGCCAACCCAGUACAUGCAUAUAUUAUACAUGAACCCUGGCAGGGGUAAACUUAUUGUCAGUCUUCAAGGUCAAAGACUCUUUAAAGAGGAAUGAAUGAAGUGAAUUGUUGGAGAGUGGGCAUAUAUGCCUCAAUAACUUAGUGGUUGGAGCACAGUGACUAUAGUAAUGCAGGGAUCCUGGUUUCAAUUCCCUGUCCCACCAAAUAUUUUCUCCUUAAUUCCUACUUGUAACUGUCAUGGAAUCUAAAGAUAUCACAUCGUAAAAAAUAUCUUCAUACCUCAAGGGAAUGACACGAUAAUUAUUGAAAUACUAUUGGUUGAACAAAUCACGUGACUGAGCCUACAAAUAUCAUAUACCCCCUCCAUCCAUGUGUCUCAGGACGUGGUGUAUCCUACGGGGGACAUCAUCUAUACUUUCCAUGAACUCUACAUCAAGUUAAACUGUGACGAUUGUUACGUCAUAAUGCAUCCAUGUCAUUUCCUGUACAUUGUGAGGUGCAGAGGGAUUUUUUUAUACAUGAAUUUCUUUAGAAUAAGUUUAAUCAUUAACCGUGUAGGUAAUCAGCAUCCAGGGAGAAAGCAAACAUAAUAAAGGUUAUCAUCUCACUUUAUUUGUUGUUGCUUGUAUAUUCUAAUACGUUGACGGAGCGGUGCUUUUGUUCGGGUUAGAUCAGCCAUAUCUAAAUGAACGGAUACAGGAUUUUUUCUUGAAAUUUCAAUCGCAUUUUCGCAGUCUAGUUUUGUUUCGAUAUAAUAAACAAUUUAUUGCAUGAAUGUUCGUGAGAUAUGAAGAUUCACUCACCCCACAAAAAUUAUAUUCCCCUCCGACAUUGCCUUCAGGAAAUAUGAAUUUUCUGGGGUGAAUAAAUCUUCAUAUCUCCCUUAGUAUCGUGUAAUAAAUGUAUAAUAUAGGUCAAAAAAAUUCAGAUACUGGGACUUACUGCUGUUGACAGGUGUAUAUGUAGAUUCUACAGAUCAACUUCUGGGAAUUUGAGCAUUGUUUUGAUGUCAUUUUCAUUAAUCUAAGAUACAAAAAUAGGCCUGCAGCAUUAAGCUGAUCGAGAUCAUCUAUUUAUUUAUUUUACAUUUUAUUUUUUUUUUUGGUCUGACACGCAGAAAAAAAAAACCGCUGAGGCUCCCAGUGAAGGUUGGAAUUGGACUAAAACACGUCGAAGAAUCAAGUCGACACACCCAUAAUCCGUCAGUUUGUCUCUUAUCCGUUAUACAUACGUUUAUACAUAAUUCACUGACCGAUAAGAUUCUAUAAUUAAGUUUUGACAAUGUAUAUAAUGUACUGUGUCCAAUAUCUCGGAUGCAUGCCUUACCUUGGAAGGUCACCUGAAUUUGAAGGUGUGUGGCUAACGCGCGAUGUGAUUGGUUGAAUUCAGUCACUAGCCAUGACGGAUUAAAGUGGACCGUAACAAAUAAACAAAUCAACCUGUGUCCCUAGAAUACCUUUGACCAGCAAAACGUCCGUGUUUAUCUGAUUGUUAAUCAGUUACCCGAUCCCGAUCAGAAAUCACAUUGGUAUUGAUGUGUACUUUUAAUGGGGUGUUGCUAAAACGCGGACCGGAACGGAAAAUACUGCAUGCAUUGAUAUUAUGACUAAGUCAAUCAAGGCUUAUUAUGAACAAGGAAAUCAGAUGUUACAGAGAGAACAGGAAGUCAUCGUUUUAAAUAAUUCAUAAGAUAUACUGAUGCCUAUAAUUAUGCUACAUCUUGACUUGCUAUGAAAGAUAUGUUAGCCUCGUGGGUACAUGCACGUGUCCUACCCCUUUCCAUGGCCUUAUAUUUAUAGAUUAGUUCUAAACGAUUUUUUAUGAGCCUAUCACGGCUACCCAUGUCCUAAAUCAUAAUGUAACGGUUAUGCAAGAAAAUUCCUUUGGAGUGUUUCCGGUUAUGAGUUAAAAGAGAACAACACGCCGCUUCGACAGAUGGAAAGAACUCAGCACAGGUGUGGAUAUAAAGGAUGCGUCAAAGUUUACCAUCAAUUAAAAGGGGAAACUGACUUUGCAUAUGAAAAUUCAACUUAGCUUUAUUGACAUCGGUCACUUACUUGUUUUGCUUUUGUUGUUUUUGUUUGGUAUUUAACAUUAAAGAGAUAUUACUCGAG